AUGACAACAGUUAUCGCAUCUAACAAUAGUGAUAGUAUAAAUGAACAUCCCAAAGAAAAUGCAAUUAUUUUAAAAAGUAUUGAUAACAAAAACAACAAAAACAUGGAUGUAAACACUACAACACCUGAUUGUAACAUAAAAACAAACCAACUAAAUGAAGAAAUAAUAAACAAAAAACAAAUUAAAGCACAAAUAGAUAUAUUACAAAAACAGCUCGUGGUUUUAAAAGAAGAAGUAAAAAAAACAAAUAUGUUAAAAGUAGAAAAUAAUGAAUUGAAAACUUUAUUAAAUUUGAAGAACUGUGAUAUUAAUGAUUAUGAAAUAAGUUUAAACCAAUUAAAGGAAGCAAAUGACCAAUUAAAGGAAGCAAAUGACCAAUUAAAUGGACAAAUAUUCGAUUUGGAAAAAGAGAAUAUUACUUUAAAAAAUAAAAUUAAUUUUGAAAUAAAAAAAAAUGAUGAUUACAGUGGAAAUGAUGAUUAUGAUAAGGCUGAUGAUUAUGAUAAGGUUGAUGAUUAUGAUAAGGUUGAUGAUUAUGGUGGAAAUGGGGAAACAUAUUUGAACAAAAAUAUAGAGAAGGUACAAGCCAAAAUGAAAAAAAUAUAUUCUGAUAAAAUAAAUACAUUAAAAUCUAUUUUAGAUGACAAAAAGAAAAAAUUAACAAUAUUAAAUUCAUUAUUAAAAACGUCUAACAAUCAAACGGUUCAGUUAAAUAAAAAAAUGUUAUGCUUAUUAAAAGAAAAUAAAUUAUUACAGGAAAAAUAUGAAACAUCUUUAGAAUAUUUAGAAAAGCUAAAAAUGAAAUACGAUAGCGACAUUAUGAACAUACAUAAUGAAAGUAAAAAUAAAAAGUCAGAUAAUGAUAACACUACUACUACUGCUACUGCUGCCACUACUGCUACUGAUGCUACUACUACUACUACUACUACUGCUACUGCUACUGCUACUGCAACUAAUACUACUGCUACUAAUACUACUGCUACUAAUACUACUUCUACUAAUACUACUGCUACUAAUACUACUGCUACUAAUACUACUGCAGUAAAUGAUAAUACUGAAAAUAAUAAGUUAAAACAUGAACAGGGAUUUGAACAGGGAUUUAAACAGGGGUUUGAACAGAGAUAUGAAAAGGAAUAUGAUCAAAUAUGUAACAGUAAACAGGGAGAAGAAGUAAAUGUUAUAAAAGAUUCUAAGGAAACAUUAAAAAAAAUAAAAGACAAAACUAAUUAUACGGUUAGUAACAUUACUUCCACUACUGAUAGUGAUACAAAUAAUAGUAGUACUAAUUCGGACACUAUACAAAAAACUGAAACAUAUAAUUUUGGCGUAGGUAAAUUACCAAAUCAUAACGAAAUAAUGCCAAAUAAUAAAAAAAUUCGAAAUGAACGAGGUGUAUAUAAAAACUUAUUAGAUGAUGAAAAUAAAUAUGUAAAUAUAAAUAACAUAUUUGAAAUUGAUAGUUUAAAAAAUAAUUUGCAAAUUAUGUUUGAUAGUAAUAGCGAACAUAUGGGUGGUGAUCAAAUUGAUGACCAAAUGGGUAAUAAAAUGGGUAAUAAAAUGGGUAAUACAAUGGGUAAUACAAUGGGUAAUACAAUGGGUAAUAAAAUGAACAUGCAUAAUAUCCAUAAUAGUACCGAUUUACAUGCCCCUAUUGAAUAUCCAGUACAUAUGUCAAAAGACAAGGAAAAACAACACGUAUCAGACAAAAUAAAACUGAUGAAAGAAAAUAUGAAAAAUUAUAUAAAUGACAAAAAAGAAAAAGUAAACAUUCCUAUUAUUAAUCAAAAUACAUUACCACAAUAUGAUAACACAUAUAUAAAAAAUAAAAAACAAUAACAAUAUAAAUAAUUAUUUUACUGAUGUUUUAAAUGAUGAUAAUCAACAUAAAUUAAAACAAAAUUUUAAAUACAACAUAAAUAAUGAAACAAAUAUAACAACUAACUGUUUGGCUUCUGGUUCAUUAAAUCAUAACGAUAGUGUGAGUGGUAACAAUUUUACAAACGCGAUGGAGCACUAUGCAAAAUAUCAGGAAUAUAUGAGCUUACUUGCUGGUUCUGUUGGUGUUGGUACCAGUGCUAAUGCCACUACAGCUACUGUCAAUACUGCUAAUGCCACUACAGCUACUGACAAUACAACCACUACUACUACUACUACUCUUACUGCUCCUAAUGCACAUAUGUAUAACGCACAAUGUUCACACAAUAAUGAAUACAAAAAGAACUUACAUAAUAAUAUUGAAAGAUUUAUAUAUGAAACUGAAAUAAAAUCGGUUAACAAUAAGACUGUCGAACA
ensembl:lncRNA